GGUUAGAAUCUGCUGAUAGAAGUUGAAGGUUUGCUGCUAGUUUCCUGUUGCUGUAAAAGAUUUUGUGCUUGCUGCCCGCAGUCCUGUAUUGUUCAGUUUCUGUUCAAUAGUGAAGAUGUUCGUUUUUUGGGGGGAUUGAUGUUACGACAGUUUUUCUGAACAGUUGAGGGAGUUUUGCACAAGUUUUAGCUUCAGUUAACUCAACUGCAUUGCUCCAGGUUAUAUGCCAACAAUACACUACUGAAAUUCAAGUUUUGAGUAUCUUUUUGAAAGCAAAUUCUGCAUUGUUCAGCUGCACUUUGUCUGCACUAUUUGGUUAUUCUGGUUGAAGCUGCUGACUACUUACUUGAUUCUCCUUGCCGGAAGCAGAAGAACAUGCUAAGACUUGGGUCGUGGGGUAAGGAAACCUUCUGUUAUUGAGAGAUCCCUCAAGUUGCACUUUGAAUAUGCUUGUAAUAAAUAGAAGUAAUAUAACAGUGCUUUGUUCUCCAAGGCUUCAAGGUGUGACCAUGUUGGAUACAAUCUGAAAGUUGUGUUCCAAUCCACGUGAUCUUCUGGCUUGUACACGCUAAUCCACCAGACAACUUGCUUAACCCACAUGCAUUAGUCUACAAUUUCAUCGAUGCCUUGUUGGCAGCCAAUGUUCUCAUGCCUGUAUUUACUCUUGGAAUAGCUCUAUUUUAUAUCCCCUAGCGAUUGUUGUGAUAACUCCAGCGGCUCAAGGGAGGAGGGGGUAUGCGGACAAAAUAUUGCCUGAAGUAUUAGGAACUUUGUUUGUUACUUGAUAGAUAUUGGGAUGAAUUUGUCCAAAAAAAUUCCUAUUUAUUUUUCAGCAGAUGCAGUUUGGCUAAACGAUGAGGACACAUCGAUAACACAGCUAAAACACCAGCAGAAUCCAUGUUUGAUGAGAGCCCUGCUAGAUUUAGCUAGUGCAUCAUACACAUUUCUAAGUUCUUUCUGCCCAAGCUACAAUUUUAUGGUUUCAGGAGUUAGACACAGAAUUAGUUGAUUGUAUGUGAGAAUCAAGUCUUUUCAAGUAUGUAAUGACAGAAUAGUUGAUUGGAUACUCGCAUGCCAAAAAGAAACAGAACCUAAAGAAUUUGUG
rnacentral:lncRNA from 1 species